rnacentral:rRNA from 1 species
GGAUGUUGGCUUAGAAGCAGCCAUCAUUUAAAGAAAGCGUAAUAGCUCACUGGUCGAGUCGGCCUGCGCGGAAGAUGUAACGGGGCUAAACCAUGCACCGAAGCUGCGGCAGCGACGCUUAUGCGUUGUUGGGUAGGGGAGCGUUCUGUAAGCCGUCGAAGGUGUGCUGUGAGGCAUGCUGGAGGUAUCAGAAGUGCGAAUGCUGACAUAAGUAACGAUAAAGCGGGUGAAAAGCCCGCU